rnacentral:rRNA from 1 species
UACGUAGGUGGCAAGCGUUGUCCGGAUUUACUGGGCGUAAAGGAUGCGUAGGCGGACAUUUAAGUCAGAUGUGAAAUACCCGAGCUUAACUUGGGUGCUGCAUUUGAAACUGGGUGUCUAGAGUGCAGGAGAGGUAAGUGGAAUUCCUAGUGUAGCGGUGAAAUGCGUAGAGAUUAGGAAGAACCCCAGAGGCGAAGGCGGCGCCCUGGCUCGCAACUGACGCUCAGACACGACAGCAUGGGGAGCGAACGGG